CUGGUACUGAGAGUGUUCUUGCCUAUUUUCUGGUAUGAGGGGAUGGAAGAUUGAACCUAGAUAAUAUCUGCAGAACUUCAGACAAAGUGAUCCCACCACACAGGUAAGAGAGUGCAUCUUUUGUAGACCGAAGAUGGACAGUUUAAAGAUACCUGCUAAAAAGGUGGUGAUGGUGGUUAACUCACGUGAAUUCAAUUUUCUGCUUUUUGAUGUAUAAACAUUUCUGUUGUUUCUCUUUGCAUUUUUCUCUUUUGGAUUGUGUUUACUGUUGGGUCUGCUCCAUUUCCUCUUUGGAUCACAUUUAUAUCAAAGUUUUCCCGUUGUUGGAUAUUGACAUCCCAGUAUGACCAUUUGAUUUCAAAUUCCUAUACUUCUAUUGCUUUUGGUUUCUUGCAAGGUGUUUUAUUUUGUUUAUCCAAAACAUUGGCUUCUUUGAAAAAAUAUUUUGAAUAUGGUUAUUGGAAGAAUAUCGAGAAAGUUAGGUCCAAAUAUAGUUUUAAGGUUGGAAGCAGCCAGCUAUAUGACGCUCCAUCAUUCCUGCAUUGACAAAGUGGCACACCGCACCCAGUGACUCUCAUGGUCACAUUAUGCUUGUUCACGUCACUCAGCAAGAAUUUGUGGGAAAAGACAUUACUUAACUUUUUCUUUGCUGUGAUUUUAUCGAAAUAACAGUAUUCAAAUUUAAAAGGAUACUUAAUUCUCCUUAAAUAAUCUAACACAGGAUCACCAUCCCUACUGUAGUGUUUCCAUAUCCAUAUCUUGUGCAGAUUUAUGCACUGCCCAUUUUUUAAGACAGUUCAGAAGAUGCACAGGAACCAAUCAACCAUCCUCAGUUCAUCCCCACAGAAAGGCUAUUCACAAGAACCCUUUCCCUUCUUCUCUUAGGUUUUCAAAUAUUAUUGCAAUUGAAUAUUGAUAAACUCUGGAACAUUGUACCUGAUAAGUGAUUUCUAUUAACAGCAAUUUCAUCCAUUAGAGCUUUUUAAUUUGUUUUGGCUUUGUUGAUUUUCAUUCUCUAGUCUUUCAUUUUUUCAAUGCAUUCCAUUUCUCUGUUUCUUUUCAAAGUUUUAAUCCAAUUACCAGCCCUGUAAACAAGCAUUUGCUGCUUCUCCAGUAGAUGCACUGAACUGUGAGGAGAAGUGAUUUCUGAUUACAGACAGGCUAAUUUUCAAGGGACAAGAGGAACAAAACACAGUGAACUGAAUAAAAGAAUAAUGGAUAAUACCUUGUUAGGUGACACAUGGCACAGAAUUAGAGCACAGAUGGAAAAGCAAAAACUUAACUUAAUCCUAAAAUAUGUAUGCAUUGCGUGGAUAGUAGUUGUGAUCUGGGUCACAUACUAUCGCUUGGUUAUGAGAGGGAAGUUAUUUCACACACUUUAUUGCUCAGGAGUGUUCAAUACCAUCAGGAUUAGCUUCUCUAAUUGAGAGGGUGACAAAAAGCAAUUUAGAUCCUGUAAAGCCCUAGAGUUUUGUCUAGUUUUGUGGAACAUCUCCACAAUUUCUGGAUUUUUUAUUUAUUAUCCCUCUCCUUUCUUGGUUCCUUUUCUCAUCUAUUUCCUGCACCUUGAUGUAUAAUUAAUAACAUCUUGAGAGUUAUCUAUGUUAUAGCCUUCACAUAUCACCUGAUAGUCAUGUCUGGGGAUCAAGAGAGCACCACUGAUGAUGGUGAAUUGUGUUUGUUUUAAUAUGAGGCAAGAGCUGGGAAACACAGGGAGUCAGAGGACUAUCACAAAGUCCCUAAAAUCAUGGGGAUCACACUACUAAAUGUCUCGAUCCUCCAUCAGUGUGAAGUCUGAUCAUGAUUAUUACCUAUUUAAAGCAGAGGCAAGACAAAGUGACCUUGAAACUAGAUGCCACUGUUUUCUGGCCAUAAUCUUACCAGCAUCUGAGGGGCAG
ensembl:lncRNA